UAAUUGAAGCCCGGUCCUCGCAUGGGGGUGGUUGGAAAGUUUUUCGGUCAGGGAUGGGCUCGCGGCCUAUCAGCUUGUUGGUGGGGUGAUGGCCUACCAAGGCGACGACGGGUAGCCGGCCUGAGAGGGCGACCGGCCACACUGGGACUGAGACACGGCCCAGACUCCUACGGGAGGCAGCAGUGGGGAAUAUUGCACAAUGGGCGCAAGCCUGAUGCAGCGACGCCGCGUGAGGGAUGAAGGCCUUCGGGUUGUAACCUCUUUCAGCAGGGAAGAAGCGCAAGUGACGGUA
rnacentral:rRNA from 1 species